rnacentral:rRNA from 1 species
CACGUAGGCGGCUUCGUAAGUCAGGGGUGAAAUCCCACGGCUCAACCGUGGAACUGCCUUUGAAACUGCAAAGCUUGAAUCCUGGAGAGGGUGGCGGAAUUCCUGGUGUAGGAGUGAAAUCCGUAGAUAUCAGGAGGAACACCGGUGGCGAAGGCGGCCACCUGGACAGGCAUUGACGCCGAGGUGCGAAAGUGUGGGGAGCAAACA